CCUCCAUGCUAGACAUGGAGCUCUCUAAUGGACUGUAAUUGGGUUAUAAAAGUGGUGCUCCAAGUGCAAAAGAAGUGUGGGAUUGGGAUUGAGAAAUGAGCAGUGAUGGUACAAUUGGCUGUUUUCUCUUGAAUGUAAUGGUAAGGGCUCCAGGAGUGCAAGGUGUGUGUUCCAGUCCCCACCAUUUGGUUUGUACAUGUCCUGCUCAGACACAGGUCCAACUUCCUCAGUCCUUAACACAACAGAGGGUGAAUGAAGGACUAUCACUGUUAAGGUGAUUGGUGCGACAGGGGUUAAACUGGGAAAACAUUGGGUAAUUCCUCAGUUUCUCUAUUUACCAAACCUGUAUUAGGAGGAGAUUGAGUGGAAAAGUUGAGGCAGAAAUCCAAUUGAAAACUGGGGAUAUUGACACUGUAAUUCCUGAAACUAAAUGUGUCAAAGCAGCAGCUCUUCUUGUGCAGGGAAUAAAUCCUGUCAGCAGCAAGGUCCGGACUGAAGUGGCAGCUGCAGUUGUUCCUGUUGUGUGGGCCAGUGGAAUUCCAGGAGAGUGGAAGAGGGCAGAACCUGUAGAACGUGAACGCAAGAACCUGCCAAGAAAACCAAUGGCAAAGAUGAUUGAUUAGUGCAGGACCUGAGAGAACCCCCUUAAAUGACAACCUCGAGUGGUUUCCAGUAUUAGAUUGAAAAGAUGCCCUUUGCUGCAUCUCCUUGAGCAAGGAAAGCCAAGAAACCUUUGCUUUUGCAGGAUAAAAUCUGGAAAGCGGGAAGGA